GACGAACGCUGGCGGCGUGCUUAACACAUGCAAGUCGAACGGAAAGGCCCUGCUUUUGUGGGGUGCUCGAGUGGCGAACGGGUGAGUAACACGUGAGUAACCUGCCCUUGACUUUGGGAUAACUUCAGGAAACUGGGGCUAAUACCGGAUAGGAGCUCCUGCUGCAUGGUGGGGGUUGGAAAGUUUCGGCGGUUGGGGAUGGACUCGCGGCUUAUCAGCUUGUUGGUGGGGUAGUGGCUUACCAAGGCUUUGACGGGUAGCCGGCCUGAGAGGGUGACCGGCCAGGUUGGGACUGAGAUACGGCCCAGACUCCUACGGGAGGCAGCAGUGGGGAAUAUUGCAGAAUGGGCGGAAGCCUGAUGCAGCAACGCCGCGUGCGGGAUGACGGCCUUCGGGUUGUAAACCGCUUUCGCCUGUGACGAAGCGUGAGUGACGGUAAUGGGUAAAGAAGCACCGGCUAACUACGUG
rnacentral:rRNA from 1 species